rnacentral:rRNA from 1 species
UACAGAGGUCCCGAGCGUUAGGCGGAAUCACUGGGCUUAAAGCGUGUGUAGGCGGAUCGUUAAGUACCUUGUGAAAUCCCACGGCUUAACCGUGGAACUGCUUGGUAUACUGGCGGUCUUGAGCCACUUAGGGGCUACCGGGAACAAAUGGUGGAGCGGUGAAAUGCGUAGAUAUCAUUUGGAACGCCAAUGGUGAAAACAGGUAGCUGGGAGUGUGCUGACGCUGAGACACGAAAGCCAGGGGAGCAAACGGG